rnacentral:lncRNA from 1 species
AGUGCCCACACACCACUGAGCACUGAGGGGCGGGGGACGUGCGGUGUGCUUGGCCUUCACUUCCUGCUAUAGGUUCACGAGGUUUUUCAGAAUCUAGUCACUGCGUCACACAGCCUUAGACUCACAUAAUCUCCAAGCAUCACAGACUCUUAGGAUUAUAAAAGUCAAGAGCCAUGGAAUCUUAGAAUAAUGGAAUUAUCCAGAGAAGAGUGGGAUUCUGCUGUGUGGGCUUUCCUGGGUUCUCAACCCUGUGCUGUGUGGGAAUGCCACCCACGUCCCUGGCACUACUGAUGGAUAAGCGCAGUCAGAUUCCUGAAGACCCUGUGUGCAGUGGCUGUGACUCUGUCUUCCUAGAGGAAAGAGGCCCCCAUGAGGGCCAUUUGAAAGGCCCUCCCUGUGCUUGGGGAAGUAAUCAAGUGAACCGUUGGACAUUAGAUAUGGUCAUGCCAGUCGCCACUCGUUGGCCACUCUGGAAUGGUGACAUGCUAUGUGAGGGCUGCCUUGCUCUGACUGUGCUGAGGUGGGGGAAGCAGCUGUCUCUGAAUCCUUCUGGCCCAGGAAGCAUCUGAAGCCCUUCUCCAAUUCCUGCCCCAGGAGAAGCCAGUGAUGAUGGCUUCAGAAUGUGUAUUUGGAUUUGGAUCAAUAAGUCCCUUUACCUGAAUCUUAGGAACUCCCCUGAUGCUGAGCAAUAGGACCCAGGAUGAGGGAAGACAGAUUAGAACCUAGAUUGGGCCCUAAGACUCAUGGUCUGGUUCUAGAAGAUAUAAGAAAAGCAGGGGUACAAAUAUAUGUGUGGUACAACUUGUGUGCUAUAUGGAUAUGUGUGUGGGAGGGAGGGGUGUUUAUGUGUGGGUAUGCUUAUAUGUGCAUGGGCAUAUAUGUGCAAUUUCCUUAGUGAUGGAAUCCUAAUAAAGCUGCCCCAGCCCCAGUAUUCUACUUCCUU